UGCCUUGGAUUCAAUUCGAUCUCCAUAUGAUGGUAAUACUGGUCGGUUCGGAACUUCAACAGUCCACCGAUUUGUGCUUGCCUGGAAUCGGAUGCAUUUCCAAGGUACUAACUGAACCUGGAUCUAUAACUCUACAGCUAGUCGAAUCAGUCUAUUUUGGUAGCGAGCUUGCUCGUGUUAAAAAUAUGACUUGCAUGGAUAACCAAUUCGACUUGGCGUUAUAGGUAGACAGACAUGUUCUUUGAUUUCAGUACCCUCGGGUACGGCACGCCAUGAGCAUUGUUUGUGUCACAUGGGUAACUAAUAUCUAAACAAUGUUAGUUUUAUUCAUCGUCGAUGCCUAAUGUUUUGUGGCUGUCAAUGAAAUCGGCAAGUCGACAGGAGUUUUGAAUGCCGAGUUAUUCGACCCGUCUUGAAACACGGUCUAAGGAGUUCACUGCAUGUGCAAGAGUUCGGCUGUAUGAAAAGCCUUGCUCGCAAUGAAAGUAAAGAACAUUCUUGCAAUGUUUGAAGUGUGAUUUCUGUCAUCUGGUGCAAAUCAUGACAACGAACGCAACACUGACAGGUUCUAUUGCCGCUGGCAAAGAGCUUAGUAAGAGUAUAUGCAAUGAGACCCGAAAGAUGGUGAACUUAACGUGUGUAGAAUGAAGCCAGGGGAAACCCUGGUGGAAGUUCGUAGCGGUUCUGACGUGCAAAUCGAUCGUCAAACAUGCGUUAAGGGGCGAAAGACUAAUCGAACCAUCUAGUAGCUGGUUCCGUCCGAAGUUUCCCUCAGGAUAGCUGGCAUUCAAUUUUCACAGUUAUAUCCGGUAAAGCGAAUGUUUAGAGGCAUUGGGCGUAAAAUACGCUCAACCUAUUGACAAACUUUAAAUGGGUAUGAAGUUCAUUUUUCUACUUCAUUGAGAAUGAACAGCGAAUGUGAGUGCCAAGUGGGCCAUUUUUGGUAAGCAGAACUGGCGCUGUUGGAUGCACAAAACGUCAAGAUAAAGAGCCAGAUGGUCUCGCUCAUCAGAUACCAUAAAAGGUGUUGGUCGAUAUAGACAGCAGGACGGUGGCCAUGGAAGUCGGAAUCCGUUAAGGAGUGUGUAACAACUCACCUGCCGAAUCGACUAGUCCUAAAAAUGGAUGGCGCUCGAGCGAGCCUCUUAUACUUGACUGUUACGAUACAACAAGCCAUUUACGGACAUCAUGUCGUAACAAGUAGGACGGUUGAUAUGGUUGCGUCGAAGGCUAACACGUGAGUGUGGCUUGAGCAGUCAUAUGUACAGAUCUUAGUGGUAGUAGCAACUAUUCAAAUGAGAACUUUGAAGACUGACGUGGAGAAAGGUUCCAUGUGAACAGCUAUUGGACAUGGGUCAGUCAGUCCUAAGAUGCGCUCGAAAGAGGGUUCCGAACGAGGAAUAUCUAUAUUCAUCUAUAUUUAUAUUCCAUCAAAUCGAAAGGGAAACAAGUUAAUAUUCUUGUACUAAGUGUCGGAGAUUGUUUGAUUUCGUGUCAAACAUAUGUGGUAACACAAACGAGCUCAAAUACAUCACAAGUGGUCCUGGAAAGAGUUUUCUCUUCUUUGUUACUUCAUCGGACGACCCUGGAAUCAGUUCAACUGGAGAUAGGGUUCAAAUGAAGGUAAAGAGUAGCCGUUCUUGCUACUUCCUCGGUGCAUCAUUUGUGAUCCUUGAAAAUUUGAGCGAGAUAUUCAAUUUCGCACUUAUCUGUACUCUAAACCGCAUCAGGUCUCCAAGGUGAAAAGCCUCUAGUCAAUUAGAACAAGGUAGCACAAGGGAAGUCGGCAAAAUCGAUCGGCAACUUCGGGAUAACGAUUGGCUCUAAGUGCUAGGGUGUUCGGGCUUGAUGAUAAAGCAGUAGACUUGCUACUGGAGCUGAGCUUUCGGAUGCAGCAAUGUGUCUGAUCGUUCGGACUAGUGGCUUGUCUCGCUGUGGAAUCGUUUUGCUACGGUGUGCGGUUCGCUUGCGGGCCGUAUCACUUCGGACAUCGUUUAAUAGCAAACUUAGAACUCGCUGCGUCUAGGGGAAUCCGACUGUCUAAUUAAAACAGAGCUUUGCGAUUGGCCGGAAAACUUGGUGUUGACGCAAAGUGAUUUCUGCCCAGUGCUCUGAAUGUUAACGUGAAGAAAUUCAAACAAGCGCGGGUAAACGGCGGGAGUAACUAUGACUCUCUUCUGGUAGCCAAAUGCCUCGUCAUCUAAUUAGUGACGCGCAUGAAUGGAUUAACGAGAUUCCCACUGUCCCUGUCUACUAUCUAGCGAAACCACAGCCAAGGGAACGGGCUUGGACAUCAAUGCGGGGA
rnacentral:rRNA from 1 species